UACAGAGGGGGCAAGCGUUGUUCGGAAUUACUGGGCGUAAAGAGCGCGCAGGCGGUCGUUCAAGUCGAGUGUGAAAGCCCCCGGCUCAACUGGGGAGGGUCACUCGAUACUGAUCGACUUGAAGGCAGGAGAGGGAAGCGGAAUUCCCGGUGUAGUGGUGAAAUGCGUAGAUAUCGGGAGGAACACCAGUGGCGAAGGCGGCUUCCUGGCCUGUUCUUGACGCUGAGGCGCGAAAGCUAGGGGAGCAAACGGG
rnacentral:rRNA from 1 species